UACGGAGGGUCCAAGCGUUAUCCGGAAUCAUUGGGCUUAAAGGGUCCGUAGGCGGUUUUGUAAGUCAGUGGUGAAAGCCCAUCGCUCAACGGUGGAACGGCCAUUGAUACUGCAAGACUUGAAUUAUUGGGAAGUAACUAGAAUAUGUAGUGUAGCGGUGAAAUGCUUAGAGAUUACAUGGAAUACCAAUUGCGAAGGCAGGUUACUACCAAUAUAUUGACGCUGAUGGACGAAAGCGUGGGGAGCGAACAGG
rnacentral:rRNA from 1 species